UAAACACUCGGACAGAACACGUAACUAUAUCGAUGUUCAUAUCUAAAAGUAAAAAACAAUCUUAUCAUUAAUUUUAAUUUAUAUUCCGUUUCCUUCGGCUUUUUUCAUCACACAUUGCAAGAUACUUACAACAUUCACUAAUAUUUUGUUAAAAUGACAACAUUAUCCAGUUUUUUUCUACUACUGUGUAUUAUUGCUGCGGAGGGUCAAAUAUUUCGAAGGCGAUAUGGACCUCCCCCAGUAGAUGUUCCCAUCGGUAGAGCUAGUUCACCCGUCUGGGGUAAUAUAACUCAAAGGGUUGAUCAUUUCAAUCCUGCGGAUAAAAGAACUUGGUCAAUGGUAAGCACGAAAGUAUAAUUUAUAAUCUAAAUUGUACGUAUUAAUAAUAAUAACUGAAACGAUAUU